rnacentral:tRNA from 1 species
GGGUCAGUAGCUCAGCUUGGAUAGAGCGACAGCCUUCUAAGCUGUAGGUCGGGGGUUCGAAUCCUCCCUGACCCG